rnacentral:rRNA from 1 species
AAUAUGGUACAUUGGUCGAAAGCCUGAUCCAGCAUUGCCUCGUGUUUUAAGAUGGUCUUAGGUUUGAAAAGCACUUUAAGGUGGGAGGUAGGGCAGUAAGUUAAGACCUUGCUGUUUGUUCGAUACCGACAGAAGAUGCACCGGCUAACUUCGUGUCAGCAGCAGCGGUAAUUCGAAGGGUGCAAGCGUUAAUCGGAAUUACUGGGCGUAAAGCGAGCGUAGGUGGUUCGUUAAGUUGGAUGUAGAAGCCCCGGGCUCAACCUGGGACCUGCAUACAAAAUUGGCGAGCUAGAGUACGGUAGAGGGUGGUGUAAUUUCCUGUGUAGCGGUGAAAUGAGUAGAUAUAGGAAGGAACACCAGUGGCGAAGGCGACCACCUGGACUGAUACUGACACUGAGGUGCGAAAGCGUGGGGAGCAAACAGG